rnacentral:lncRNA from 1 species
GUACAUGAAACGCUUCUGUCCCCAAAAGGUAUUUUUAAAAGUAAUCAUUUUAUUUUCCAUAUAAUUAUUAUAACUACUGAGAUGGGGCUUAAUACCUUCCUUAAGACUCCUCACCCACAUGGUGUAUUUACAGCCUGGUUCUGCUUCUUCCCUGCUGUGUGACGACCAGCAAGUCACUUAACAUCUCUGAGGCUCAAUUUGCCAAAGCAUAAAUUAGGACUUCUCAUCUUCAUCCAAAUCUCACCACCUGAGUGAGGCUGUCUCCCUGGAUAGCUGCUCUGCCACAGCCCAGGGGCCCCCCAAUCCUGAAUGUUACUCUGUCAGCCCAUACCUUGCAUUUAUUCAGUCUGAGUGUUCUUUUUUCCUGGCUUUCCCCACAGGGCUGGUCGUCCUUACAGGAUUUUCCCUUGUUCUCAGCAUCUAGACCCGUAACGCCCACUUCAGAAUGGGAGGGAGGAUGUCUGCUGCCCUGUCGUCUCCACACCCGAGGAAUGUCCGUGUGUGUGUGUGUGUGGUGUGCACAGCGGGCUGCACACAGCGGGCUCCACGGUGCUCGAAUGGAGGCCCUAAUGUGAAUGGAGACUAGCCUGCUGGUAGAGACCUUGGCAGUGACCGCUGUGGGCAAUGAGCCAUGGGCCAACAAUAUUCAAUGCUGUGUACCUGAUGGAUGGUUACUGUCUGAGACUGAGGCUUUUUGGGCCAGGAGUAAAAGGACUUGGUUUGUACUUGAUUGCGUCCUGUGGAUGCUUGCCUACCAACUGACUCAUCCUGACGUGCCAAAGGUCCUGGCUUUCCCCUGUGUGGGUAAGGGAAGAAGAGAGUUCUAAUGAGAGCGUGGCUGGCAUCGCUUCAUGAUUACAUUCUGGGAAAGAUCUUGCCUGUUAACCUCUAGAGAAGGAGGGACGAUACAGACAAUGGACUCACAAUUGCUGAUGUAUAGGUUCUAAUGUUUUCUAUUGUGGACACGGGACACCCAGACUGAGGUUCGUGGAUUUUUGAAAUUUCUAAUAAUAAGAUAAAUUUGUGACUUAAUUUUGAGUGGAUGAACUUGAUUUGUUGUGGUUAUAUUGUUCAGUUAGUAUGUAAGUAAAUAUACAAAUAAAUGAAAAAGGGGUUGGCCAACUAUCAAUGUAUAGAGCACAUUGAUAGCAAAGUUGUUUACAUAACUUACACUUUUAGUCCUUAAAUACCAUACGAAUUGAGCAUGUUUUAUCUCUCCUUCUGAGAUCAUUAAAUGGGUCAUUAAAUAUAGGGACUAUAAGCAACUGUCAAUAUUGAUUAGGGUAGUUCAAUGUUAACAUUGUUGAUUUUUGAAGCUUUAUUAUGAACUUGGAAGCAAAGGCGCCACACACUGAAAUUAAGGAGAUCCAAAGACUUACUUUGAUAAUAGAAAAUUCAUAGCGAUUAUCAUAGGUUCAUAUGAUAUCACAUUAAUUGUUAUGCAAAACUUAUUCUUGUGAGUUCUCAAAGGUAGUUAUCCUCUCUAUUCAUCCCACAGAACCAAUGGCUCCAGUCUGAUUUAAACAUGGGUCCGUGCUCACACACUCAAUACCUACCCUCUGUGCUCACAAGUCCUGUGUGAGUAAGACUCCAAAUUAUUCUGUCUUGUUUUACUCAAUGGUAUGCUCUACCUUAUUAUAGAGUAUACCAUGUAUUGAGACAAGAAUGCCAGUCAUUCUGAGAAACAAAAUGCAACCAUUAGUUGUCAUUUUAAUUAGUGACGAAUAGUUGUGUCAAUCAUCAAACAUGCUUGUAUAAUUGGAUGAGAAGAGGUGUAACACGGGCCAAUGAUGACGAGGUUUCGGGAUUAUAAGUCACGGACGAUGACUACGUCACUAGAGGUCUGAGGUCCAUAGCAGAAGAUGCCUCAUGUGACCCUCUCAUGCAGGGGUUGCAUGUCAGGCAUGUGCAUACAGUAGAUAUUAGCCAUGCACUCU